UGGACUAAUAGGAAGAACAUCUUUUUUAAUUACAUGAGAAGCAGUUUCAGCAAAUCCAAGAAAACUAUGUGUAAGACUUCAUAUUGUUUAUUCAAAGAGUAUUUGUUCUUGAUCAAAACAUUCUUUAUUACCUACAGUACAAAUAAAUUUGUGCACAGUACACUACUAAUAUAUUCAUUAUGAUUUGACUGAUUGAAAAAUGCUCAUCACCUGCCACAUAAAAAACAAAACAUAAAAAAAAAAUUCUGUGACAUUAAGAACCUGAGUUAUUAGGUAGAAAAUAAAUCCUUUCUUAUUUUCCUUCAAUGUUUUCAGUAUUGGAAAUAAGUUUUUUACUAACUAACUAGAUGAAGAACUCCCAGUUUUGGGUGAUUAAGAAGGGCACUAAUCUUAGUUUUAUUUGUACAUAUUAGCAUCAAGGUUUUACUCAAGCACAGAAAAGAUGGUUUAUUACUGUUAAUUCCCCAAUCUCUCAUGCUGUUCAACUUUGAAUAUGUUGCUGCAUGUAAAGAUUCAACAACUAACAUUUUAGACUCAUCAUCUUUGUCAAUUGGCUUCAGAGAUUACUGUUCCUUUACACAGCAAACAGAUCUUUCAUACUGUUCAACUUUGAAUAUGUUGCAUGUAAAGAUUCAACAACUAACAUUUUAGACUUAUUCCUUGUGGGUUUGUCUUUCUAAAGGAAGAUAAGAUAUAGCUGACAUACAAGUCUCUAACACAUUGAAUUAAUUUAUGGACACAAAAGUACACAUAGUUAUCAAAAUUGAAUGGGUCCAAUUUGCCCAUUUAUAUAAAUAGAAGAAUGAAUCUGUCAAUCCCAA
rnacentral:lncRNA from 1 species